CCACACGUAAACACAACCCUGCCUGCCUGCAAAACACCUUGUGUGGAACUGCAAUUAAUCUGCAUCGUUAUUAGUUCAGAACCAGUAUAAAAACUGGGCUGCCCACUGUUGAACGGUACACACAUUCUCCACAAGCAUAAACAAUCACCCCUCCAAACCAAUUAACCAUAAUCAACAUGAAAUCCUUCUUCGCCAUUGCCGUCAUCGUCGCCUGCUUGGCAGUUACCAUUCAAGCGGCCACAUUUGGAGGGGCGUGCUCCCAUUCGGGUGUCCAAAAUCAGGACGAUUCCCAAUGUUCCGGAGUCAACAAUAACAUGCUCUGUGGAACUGGAAACAAGUGCGUGUGUGCCGACACAUAUGGACUUUCAGGAAAAUUCACGCCAAAAGCUGAUGGCACUGGAUGCAGUCCCGCUUAAUAAAUGACUUAUUGUUGGUUGCGACCUAAUUUAUUCCCUGGUACACAAUUUCCCUCCGUAUCAAAUACAUAUCUGCCCGAUUUCCAGGUUAAAUUGUUUUCAGCAUUGGCUUUCUUGAACUGAAAUAAAAUUUUGAUUUUGUGCUGCAAUAA